rnacentral:rRNA from 1 species
UACGUAGGGUGCGAGCGUUAAUCGGAAUUACUGGGCGUAAAGCGUGCGCAGGCGGUUUUGUAAGUCUGUCGUGAAAUCCCCGGGCUCAACCUGGGAAUUGCGAUGGAGACUGCAAGGCUAGAAUCUGGCAGAGGGGGGUAGAAUUCCACGUGUAGCAGUGAAAUGCGUAGAGAUGUGGAGGAACACCGAUGGCGAAGGCAGCCCCCCUGGGUCAAGAUUGACGCUCAUGCACGAAAGGCGUGGGGAGCAAACAGG